rnacentral:tRNA from 1 species
AGCGGGGUAGAGAAUCGGUUUACUCGACGGCCUCAUAAGCCGUAUAGGUGGGUUCGACUCCCACCCCCGCCACCA